rnacentral:rRNA from 1 species
CCUGACUGCUAUCGGAUUGAUACUAAGCCAUGCGAGUCAUUGUAGCAAUACAAGGCAGACGGCUCAGUAACGCGUAGUCAACCUACCCUAUGGACAGGGAUAACCUCGGGAAACUGAGAAUAAUACCAGAUAGAACAUUAUGCCUGGAAUGGUUUAUGUUUCAAAUAAUUUAUUGCCGUAGGAUGGGACUGCGGCCUAUCAGUUUGUUGGUGAGGUAAUGGCCCACCAAGACUAUUACAGGUACGGGCUCUGAGAGGAGUGGCCCGGAGAUGGGUACUGAGACACGGACCCAGGCCCUAUGGGGCGCAGCAGGCGAGAAAACUUUGCAAUGUGCGCAAGCACGACAAGGUUAAUCCGAGUGAUUUCUGCUAAAGGAAUCUUUUGUCAGUCCUAGAAACACUGUUGAAUAAGGGGUGGGCAAGUUCUGGUGUCAGCCGCCGCGGUAAAACCAGCACCUCAAGUGGUCAGGAUGAUUAUUGGGCCUAAAGCAUCCGUAGCCUGCUUUGUAAGUUUCCGGUUAAAUCCAUUAGCUCAACUGAUGGGCCGCCGGAAAAACUGCAAAGCUAGGGAGUGGGAGAGGUAGACGGUACUCGGUAGGAAGGGGUAAAAUCCUUUGAUCUAUCGAUGACCACCAGUGGCGAAGGCGGUCUACCAGAACACGUUCGACGGUGAGGGAUGAAAGCUGGGGGAGCAAACCGGAUUAGAUACCCGGGUAGUCCCAGCUGUAAACGAUGCAGACUCGGUGAUGCCCUGGCUUGUGGCCAGUGCAGUGCCGCAGGGAAGCCGUUAAGUUUGCCGCCUGGGAAGUACGUACGCAAGUAUGAAACUUAAAGGAAUUGGCGGGGGAGCACCACAAGGGGUGAAGCCUGCGGUUC